ACGCUGGCGGCGUGUCUUAGACAUGUAAGUCGAACGGGCCUGUAGCAAUACAGGCUAGUGGCGAACGGGUGAGUAAUACAAAAGUAAUCUACCUCGGAGUGGGGUAUAAUCCCGCGAAAGCGGGACUAAUUCCCCAUAUUCUCCUAGACGUCGGUUUUAUGAGGAAAGGCUUCGGUCGCUCUGAGAUGAGCUUUUGGCCCAUCAGCUUGUUGGUGAGGUAACGGCCCACCAAGGCGAUGACGGGUAGGGGGUGUGAGAGCAUGUCCCCCCACAUGGGAACUGCGACACGGUCCCAACUCCUACGGGAGGCAGCAGUCUAGAAAUUUGCGCAAUGGGCGAAAGCCUGACGCAGCGACGCCGCGUGAGGGAUGGAGUCCUUCGGGAUGUAAACCUCUGUUGAGGGGGACGAUUAUGACGGUACCCCUCGAGGAAGCCUCGGCUAACUCCGUGCCAGCAGCCGCGGUAAUACGGAGGAGGCAAGCGUUGUCCGGAAUCACUGGGUGUAAAGGGUGUGUAGGUGGCCUGAUGGGUCAGGUGUGAAAUCUGGUUGCUUAACAACCAAACCGCAUUUGAAACUAUCGGGAUCGAGGGCAUGAGAGGAGAGUGGAACUCGCGGUGUAGCGGUAGAAUGCGUGGAUAUCGCGAGGAAUGCCGAUGGCGAAGGCAGCUCUCUGGCCGGCCCUGACACUGAAACACGAAAGCUGGGGGAGCAAACGGGAUUAGAUACCCCGGUAGUCCCAGCCCUAAACGAUGUACACUUGGCAUAUGCGAUUUCGUAUGUGCCGGAGGUAACCUGUUAAGUGUACCACCUGGGGACUACGCUCGCAAGGGUGAUACUCAAAGGAAUUGACGGGGACCCGCACAAGCGGUGGAGUAUGUGGUUAAUUCGAGGCAACGCGAAGAACCUUACCUGGGCUUGACAUGCGAUAUACUGAGCCGAAAGGCAAGGGUCACCUCGGUGAAGUCGGCACAGGUGCGCCAAGGCUGUCGUCAGCUCGUGCCGUGAGGUGUUAGGUUAAGUCCUGCAACGAGCGCAACCCCUGCCAUUAGUUGCCAUUUUCAAGGGAAGGCACUCUAAUGGGACUGCCGCAGAUAAUGCGGCGGAAGGUGGGGAUGAUGUCAAGUCCUCAUGGCCUUUAUGUCCAGGGCAACACACGUACUACAGUGCCUAUUACAAUGGGAAGCGAGAUCGCAAGAUGGAGCAAAUCCCACAAAGAUAGGCAUGGUUCGGAUUGAGGGCUGCAAUUCGCCCUCAUGAAGGCGGAAUCGCUAGUAAUCGCAGAUCAGCAUGCUGCGGUGAAUACGUUCUCGGGUCUUGUACACACCGCCCGUCAAGCCAUGGAAGCCCGCAAUACCUGAAGUCCCUCUUGAGGGCCCAAGGUAGGGCUGGUGACGGGG
rnacentral:rRNA from 1 species